rnacentral:rRNA from 1 species
CUACGGGGGGCAGCAGUGGGGAAUAUUGGACAAUGAGGGAAACCCUGAUCCAGCAAUGCCGCGUGUGUGAAGAAGGCCUGCGGGUUGUAAAGCACUUUCGGUUGGGAGGACUGCUUCUAGCACUAAUAUUGUUGGAAGUUGACGUUACCUUCAGAAGAAGCACCGGCUAACUCCGUGCCAGCAGCCGCGGUAAUACGGAGGGUGCAGGCGUUAAUCGGAAUUACUGGGCGUAAAGCGCGCGUAGGCGGCUAGAUCAGUCGGGUGUGAAAGCCCCGGGCUUAACCUGGGAACUGCAUCCGAUACUGUCUAGCUUGAGUACAGGAGAGGAGAGUGGAAUUCCACAUGUAGCGGUGAAAUGCGUAGAUAUGUGGAGGAACACCAAUGGCGAAGGCAGCUCUCUGGCCUGAUACUGACGCUGAGGUGCGAAAGCGUGGGGAGCAAACAGGAUUAGAUACCCGAGUAGUC